rnacentral:rRNA from 1 species
UACGUAGGGGGCGAGCGUUACCCGGAUUUACUGGGCGUAAAGCGCGUGUAGGCGGCUGGCCAAGCGUGGUGUGAAAUCUUCGGGCUUAACCCGAAAACUGCAUUGCGAACUGGUCUGGCUAGAGUGUGUGAGAGGGUAGUGGAAUUCCCGGUGUAGCGGUGAAAUGCGUAGAUAUCGUAAGGAAGACCAGUGGCGAAGGCGGGUCUCUGGACAGUUCCUGACGCUGAGGCACGAAGGUCAGGGGAGCAAACGGG